rnacentral:rRNA from 1 species
GACGAACGCUGGCGGCGUGCCUAAUACAUGCAAGUUGAGCGCUGAAGGUUGGUACUUGUACCAACUGGAUGAGCAGCGAACGGGUGAGUAACGCGUGGGGAAUCUGCCUUUGAGCGGGGGACAACAUUUGGAAACGAAUGCUAAUACCGCAUAAAAACUUUAAACACAAGUUUUAAGUUUGAAAGAUGCAAUUGCAUCACUCAAAGAUGAUCCCGCGUUUUAUUAGCUAGUUGGUGAGGUAAAGGCUCACCAAGGCGAUGAUACAUAGCCGACCUGAGAGGGUGAUCGGCCACAUUGGGACUGAGACACGGCCCAAACUCCUACGGGAGGCAGCAGUAGGGAAUCUUCGGCAAUGGACGAAAGUCUGACCGAGCAACGCCGCGUGAGUGAAGAAGGUUUUCGGAUCGUAAAACUCUGUUGGUAGAGAAGAACGUUGGUGAGAGUGGAAAGCUCAUCAAGUGACGGUAACUACCCAGAAAGGGACGGCUAACUACGUG